CAAUGGCUUUCAGGUUUUGGGUUUACAAAAAGCAGAGACUUUUUGGUCUCUGAGGAGAGCCCAGCUAUCCAUGUAAGAAAGGGCAAAAGUUAGGGUGAAAAGGAAAAUCAUGCAGGCAAAUAAUCCAGACUAUCUAUUGAUUAGAACUUUCUUUUCUAAAAAAAGGUUGUUCUGAGGACAGCAUAAGGUCAAAGAUCUGGGUGGUGCUGUGCGGGGCAGCCUGGAAACAUCCAGUAUCCGGCCCGUAGUUACACAGGCCGUAAAGGAAAGACAGGCUCUGAACCCAGCAGCUGCCACUUCUUCUGAAUGCUGUAAUUUACAGAGAGAAUGGGAGGAGACUUUACAUUAAUGUGUGUCUUUAAACAACGAAAAACACUGAUGGAGCCUGGAGAAGCCUGUCGGGGUGGCGUGAGGCCCCUCCUGAGGAGAGACAUUGUCACGGGAUGUGCUUGCCCAGCGAACGCCCUGGUUUCUUCCUGGGCCUCUGUCGCCUAAUCGCCCCACGAGGAACAAACGCCACAACGACAUUACGUAUCCUGUUUUGUGCACAAUACCAUUUACUGAUUUCAAUAGCAAUAUCAUCUGCGAAACCCUC